CCUGAGCAAGAAAAACCUCUUCAGGUUUCAGAUUCAUUUCUCCGAUAACUUCAUUGGCAAUCUUAACAAAUGUGUCACCGAUAAUCUUCCUUUUUUCUUCAGGACUUGUAGUCAUAUUUAAGGUCUUGCUAAUUCUUUUACGUGGAGUUCUGUCUUCAUCAGAGAUUGGUAGAGUUGUUGUACCAUUAUAGAAAGAAUGAGCUGCAUUCACCACUUUAACCUGAAUCCCAAGUUUCUUCAGUGCCUCCUCCACCGACUGACUUUCUCUUUUGCGCAUAAACCCAUUGUCUAUAUGUACAGCUAUCACCUGAUCCCGGUUUAAAGCUCGAUUCAGGAGAGCAGUGCACACAGUUGAGUCCACACCACCACUGAGUAAAACCAGAACUUUCGAUGAGCCCACUUUCUCUUUGAUAUUUUGAAUGCAUUGAAGUUCUCUGUUUUCCACCGUGAAGGUACCGCUGCAUCCCGCGAUAUCAUAGAGAAAAUUCUUCAGGAUCAUUUUCCCAUUCACUGUAAGGCUAACUUCAGGGUGGAACUGCGCUCCAUACAGCUUCUUAGAUUCAUUUGCUAUACCUGCUAUAAUGUUCC
rnacentral:lncRNA from 1 species